rnacentral:rRNA from 1 species
AAUUAAAAUAGUWANACAUUUAUAAAAAUCAAARAAUURANAUANAAAAAUUANNRNARAUAUUGUAAUAAGAAACUCNAGUUAAGAGCUAUAUUUGUAGUACUGUGAAGGAAGAUUGAAAUAAUUAGUAAAGUUUAGAAUAAUUAAAGGAAAAUUUAUUUUUUGUACCUUUUGUAUAAUGGUUAAGCAAGAUUAAACUAAAAGUGUUUUGUUUCCCGAAACUUGAUGAGCUAAUGUACUCUACUUUAAAGAGAGAAAAAACUACUGUUGCAAUAGUAGUUUUUGAGGGUUUAUUAGAUGUGAAAUGCUAAUCGCAUUAAGUUAUAGCUGGUUUUUCAAGAAAUUAAUUUUAGUUAAUAGUGAACUUAUAAAGUAAGAAGUUCUUUAUGGAAAAAAAUACUUUUUUAUAAUUAUUCACUUUGAGACAAUUAGGGAUAAGCUUAUUUGUCAAGCAGGAAAAAGCCUUAAUAAAUAAUUAAGAACAUAAGUUUAAUAAAUAUUCUGAUAGAAGAAUAGUAGGAUUAAUAGCAUCUAACUUAAAUAAAAGCGUUAAAGCUUUUCUUUCACACAAGAAUAAAAAAUAUUGGUUACUAGGUUCGAAGUUUUUAUUAAAAUUAUUGAAAGUUUUUAUAAAAAAUUAUAAGACAUAAUGCUUAAAUUAGUAAAGUUAAAACAAUUGGCUGUGAAUUAAUCAUUCCUAACUUUGGAGGGAUAGAAAGCAAAAGUGAUCAGGAAUUGUGCUUCUAUACAAUGUCUUCCAACUCAGGUAAUUGGGUUUAUUAAUUAGAUGAGGAAAAGGAACUCGGCAAAUAUUGACUUCGCCUGUUUACCAAAAACAUCGCCCCUUGCAAAAUAAUUGAAGAAUAAGGGGUCCUGCCUGCCCAGUGACUUAGUUAAACGGCCGCGGUAUCUUGACCGUGCAAAGGUAGCAUAAUCAUUUGCCUCUUAAAUAGAGGCUGGUAUGAAUGGCAAGACUGGGGUUAAGCUGUCUCUUUCUCAAUACUUGAACUUUAUAUUUUUGUGAAGAAGCGGAAAUAUAUUCGUAGGACGAGAAGACCCUAUCGAGCUUUAGUGAAGUUACUAGUAGUGUUAGGGAUUUAAGAAAUCUAAUGAAAUAAUUUAUUACUUUAGAAAUUUAUUUUCUUAUGUCUCAAUAUUUAGUAAAAUAAUUUUGAUUGGGGCAAUCGCGGAGUAAAAAAACCCUCCGUUUAAAGUGUUAAAAGUUACUACUUUGAAAAUAAAGUGAUCCGCUGUAGAGCGAGCAAAGGAAUAAGUUACCGUAGGGAUAACAGCGUAAUUUUUUUGGAGAGUUCAUAUUGAUAAAAAAGUUUGCGACCUCGAUGUUGGAUCGAGAUUUCCUAGAGAUGCAGCAGUUUCUGAGGGUUGGUCUGUUCGACCAUUAAAAUCUUACGUGAUCUGAGUUCAGACCGGCGUAAGCCAGGUCAGUUUCUAUCCACGAAAGUUAAACUUUUCUUAGUACGAAAGGACCAGAAAAGUAGUACCAAUUUUUUAAAAAAGGUACUAAAAAAACUUUUGAAAAAAAAAUGAAAAUUUUAA